CUCGGAUCAGGUUGGGAUACCCGCUGAACUUAAGCAUAUCAAUAAG
rnacentral:rRNA from 1 species